AUUGAACGCUGGCGGCAGGCCUAACACAUGCAAGUCGAACGAGUGGCGGACGGGUGAGUAAUGUCUGGGAAAAUGCCUGAUGGAGGGGGAUAACUACUGGAAACGGUAGCUAAUACCGCAUACAAUCAGAUGUGCCCAGAUGGGAUUAGCUUGUUGGUGGGGGAACGGCUCACCAAGGAGACGAUCCCUAGCUGGUCUGAGAGGAUGACCAGCCACACUGGAACUGAGACACGGUCCAGACUCCUACGGUAGGCAGCAGUGGGGAAUAUUGCCCAAUGGGCGCAAGCCUGAUUCAGCCAUGCCGCGUGUAUGAAGAAGGCCUUCGGUUUGUAAAGUACUUUCAUCGGGGAGGCGUUACCCGCAGAAGAAGCACCGGCUAACUCCGUGCCAGCCGCCGCGGUAAUAC
rnacentral:rRNA from 1 species